UACCCACCCGGGCGCCCCUGGGCCCCACCGCGGGCGCCCGCCGGAGGUCACCAAACUCUUGAUAAUUUAUGGCCUCUCUGAGUCUUCUGUACUGAAUAAGUCAAAACUUUCAACAACGGAUCUCUUGGUUCUGGCAUCGAUGAAGAACGCAGCGAAAUGCGAUAAGUAAUGUGAAUUGCAGAAUUCAGUGAAUCAUCGAAUCUUUGAACGCACAUUGCGCCCGCCAGUAUUCUGGCGGGCAUGCCUGUUCGAGCGUCAUUUCAACCAUCAAGCCCCGGGCUUGUGUUGGGGACCUGCGGCUGCCGCAGGCCCUGAAAAGCAGUGGCGGGCUCGCUGUCACACCGAGCGUAGUAGCAUACAUCUCGCUCUGGGCGUGCUGCGGGUUCCGGCCGUUAAACCACCUUUUAACCCAAGGUGACCUCGGAUGCAUGUAGCAGUCAGAUCCCCU
rnacentral:rRNA from 1 species